rnacentral:misc_RNA from 1 species
AAUGCUUAUGACUUUAUUGAUUGGAUCUAUUUUGUGUAUCAAUCAUUAGGGAUGGAAGGUCUUGAAAAAUUUAUGGACGUUGCGGUAGUCUUUAUGGAAUCAUAGAAACAUGGAAGUUUGAGAAGGAAUUGUUGUUUCCAAUGGCCACUAUGUGGGUCAACUGUCAUUGCUAUGAGUUUCAAGAAUUGAGAUGCUCCUCACGGCUGGAUGUGCUUUCUUCUUUAAUUUUUCCUGCUGGUUGGAAGGCCCCUCGUCUUGGUCGAUCAAAGUAAACUUUCAUGGAGCUUUGGCAGGUCUCCCCAAGUUUUUCGUAACGCCUCAAGUGCAGCUGUGAUGGAAGCAAUUACAGCAAGAGAAGCCCUGUUAUUUGCUUCGGAUACUGAUUUUUUUAAUGCUAAUUUUGGAAGUGAUUCGAUUAAUACCAUCGAUGCAAUCAUGUCCUUGUCUGACAUAGGAUCUUUAGAAGGGAAGAUUAUUGAAGAUGUCCAAGUUUUGGUUCAACUGUACAAGUAUUUAUCCUUGGCAAUAGUUCCAUGGUCAGUAAAUACUGCUGCAUAAAAGUAAA